rnacentral:rRNA from 1 species
UACAGAGGGGGCAAGCGUUGUUCGGAAUUACUGGGCGUAAAGGGCGCGUAGGCGGCCUUCUAAGUCGAACGUGAAAUCCCUGGGCUCAACCCAGGAACUGCGUCCGAUACUGGAAGGCUUGAAUCCGGGAGAGGGAUGCGGAAUUCCCGGUGUAGUGGUGAUAUGCGUAGAUAUCGGGAGGAACACCAGUGGCGAAGGCGGCUUUCUGGGCCUUACCUGACGCUGAGACGCGAAAGCGUGGGGAGCGAACCGG